GUUAGCUAACGCUAACUAGCUGACUGGACCGAGUGGAGUGGAGACUGGUUUUACGACUGGAGUCCCGACUGCAGCGGUCAGAGUCUGCUUUUAAAAGAUGUUUCUCAUCAGAAAUCAUCUGAAGCUGAGCAACUGGAACAUCCUCUCUUUGGGCCUCAUCCAGUAUGGUGGCAGUCCAUAUCAUUUUCAACACUCAACUGUGCUCUUACACAAGUGGCCUCAUCCUGAUGCUUCUUUCAUUACACUGAACAUCAUUGUCUGAACAUCAGCU